rnacentral:lncRNA from 1 species
GGAUUCCGAAAUGAUAAAAUCAUUUUUGAUUGGAUAAAAAAAAGUCGCCUAUAGAAGAUAGCUAAGAAAAUUGAAGAGGAGAAAACACGUUUUCGAGAUAGGAAUCGGUAUCUAAUGAAUUCAAUGGUUCCAGUAUAAAUGAAAGAAAAAGAAAAAGGAAUGACAUCACAACGAGAUCCUAAUCUCAAAACAAAAAGAAAGGGGGAUAUGGCGAAAUCGGUAGACGCUACGGACUUAAUUGGAUUGAGCCUUGGUAUGGAAACUUACUAAGUGAUCACUUUCAAAUUCAGAGAAACCCUGGAAUGAACAAAAAUGGGCAAUCCUGAGCCAAAUCCUAUUUUCUGAAAACAAACAAAUAAAGGUUCUGAAAAAAAAGGAUAGGUGCAGAGACUCAAUGGAAGCUAUUCUAACAAAUGGAGUUAAAUGUGUUGGUAGAGGAAUCUUUACAUAAAAACUUCAGAAAGAAAAAUAAUAAAGUGAAGGAUAAACGUAUAUACAUACGUAUUGAAUACUAUAUAAAAUGAUUAAUGAAAACCCAAAUCCCUGAUCAAAUCAUUCACUCCAUAGUCUGAUAGAUCCUUUGAAGAACUGAUUAAUCGGACGAGACUAAAGAUAGAGUCCCGUUCUACAUGUCAAUACCGGCAACAAUGAAAUUUAUAGUAAGAGGAAAAUCCGUCGACUUUUAAAAUCGUGAGGGUUCAAGUCCCUCUAUCCCCAAAAAGACUAUUUCAACCCCCAACUAUUUCUCCGACCCCCUUUCCUUAGCAGUUCCAAAUUACUUAUCUUUCUCAUUCACUCUAUUCUUUUAGAAAUGGAUUUUUCUUUUAGAAAUGGAUUUUAGCGUAAAUGGCUUUCUCUUAAGCCUUGUGAUAUAUAUGAUACACAUAGAACUGAACAUCUUUGAGCAAGGAAUCCCUAGUUGAAUGAUUACCAAUAUCAUUACUCAAUACUGAAACUUACAAAGUCAUCUUUUUGAAGAUCGAAGAAAUUCCCCAGCUUUGAUAAAAUUUUUUGAUUGACUUUUGUCCUUUUAAUUGACAAAGACCUAUUGAAAAAGACCCAUUUAUGUGUUAAGAUCAAAUUUGUUAAGAUAAAAUUAGAGUAAGAAGUAGAGAACUGAGUAACAAGCAGAGAACUAAAAAUCCUCAUGUUAACGAACGGUUCCUAUUGGGAAGACGACUCUAAAUCCUUCUGUUAAUGGGAACUUAAAAUUCUCAUGUUUGAGGUUCCAAUUGGGUUUGGUAUAGCCCUAAAAAUCCUCGAGUUACCAGUCCCAACCUUGAUAAAAAAU